CCUACGGGGGGCUGCAGUGGGGAAUAUUGGACAAUGGGGGCAACCCUGAUCCAGCCAUGCCGCGUGUGUGAAGAAGGCCCUCGGGUUGUAAAGCACUUUCAGUGAGGAAGAACGCCUGGUGGUUAAUACCCAUCAGGAAAGACAUCACUCACAGAAGAAGCACCGGCUAACUCCGUGCCAGCAGCCGCGGUAAUACGGAGGGUGCGAGCGUUAAUCGGAAUUACUGGGCGUAAAGCGCGCGUAGGUGGCUUGAUAAGCCGGUUGUGAAAGCCCCGGGCUCAACCUGGGAACGGCAUCCGGAGACGGCAAGCGAGGGUGGCGUGGAGGGUGGGGGAGCUGGAGGUGGAGCGGUGAGCUGCGGAGCGGGCGGGACGAGGACGAGGGGGGGCGGGCGCCUUAUAGACCGGCAGUGACAUCGUGGGGCGAGGGGGUUGGGAGGAGUGCGCAUUGGCGACCUCAGGGGGG
rnacentral:rRNA from 1 species